rnacentral:rRNA from 1 species
ACGCUCGACACCUACGGGAGGCAGCAGUGGGGAAUAUUGCACAAUGGGGAAACCCUGAUGCAGCGACGCCGCGUGGAGGAAGAAGGUCUUCGGAUUGUAAACUCCUGUUGUUGGGGAAAAGAGGAUGGUACCCAACAAGGAAGUGACGGCUAACUACGUACCAGCAGCCGCGGUAAUCUGAGCGGGCUGGCAAGGC